GAAACUUUUAAAAUAUAAUAAAACACA
rnacentral:misc_RNA from 1 species